AGAGUUUGAUCCUGGCUCAGGAUGAACGCUAGCGGCAGGCCUAAUACAUGCAAGUCGAACGGGCUGGAGUAGCAAUACUCCAGUUAGUGGCGCACGGGUGCGUAACGCGUAUGCAACCUACCUUUUAUUGGGGGAUAGCCCGAAGAAAUUCGGAUUAAUACCGCAUAAUACUGUUUGAGGGCAUCUGAAGACAGUUAAAGCUUUGGCGAUAAAAGAUGGGCAUGCGUGACAUUAGCUAGUUGGUGGUGGUAACGGCACACCAAGGCGACGAUGUCUAGGGGUUCUGAGAGGAUGAUCCCCCACACUGGUACUGAGAUACGGACCAGACUCCUACGGGAGGCAGCAGUAGGGAAUAUUGGGCAAUGGCGGAAACGCUGACCCAGCCAUGCCGCGUGCAGGAUGAAGGCCUUCUGGGUUGUAAACUGCUUUUACCAGGGAAGAAACUACCUUUGCGAAGGGAACUGACGGUACCUGGUGAAUAAGCACCGGCUAACUCCGUGCCAGCAGCCGCGGUAAUACGGAGGGUGCAAGCGUUGUCCGGAUUUAUUGGGUUUAAAGGGUGCGUAGGCGGCUUGAUAAGUCCGUGGUGAAAGCCAACAGCUCAACUGUUGAACUGCCAUGGAUACUGUCAGGCUUGAGUACAGACGAGGUAGGCGGAAUGGAUCGUGUAGCGGUGAAAUGCAUAGAUACGAUCCAGAACUCCGAUUGCGAAGGCAGCUUACUAGGCUGUAACUGACGCUGAGGCACGAAAGCGUGGGGAGCGAACAGGAUUAGAUACCCUAGUAGUCC
rnacentral:rRNA from 1 species